rnacentral:miRNA from 1 species
CAGUACUUCUGCAAUGCAACCC